UAAUAAAUACCUUCCUUUUAUUGGCUCAUAAAUGAAGACAUGGAUUGUCUAUCUCAUUUAAUCAAGUCGUUUAUUGAAAUCCAAAUAAAUUACAUUCCUCUCUUCUUCUUCAUCUUCCCAUCCCUCUCUUCAUCAUAAUCAUCAUCAUCAUCUUCUCAAACUUUAUAACUCUUCCAAACUUUCUUUUAUCUUUCUUUUUUUGCACAAUUGGAAAAAGGUGAUGAUGGUUGUUUAAAAAAAGAGAAGAUUUUUACUAGAAAAAAAGAGGAAGAAGAUAAGAAAAAUAAAUGAGAUGGAGAAGAAGAUGAAGCUGAAUAUGAAAAAGAUAGAAAGAUGAAAAAAGCUAGAUCUAACUUUUAAUGUUUUUAUGUUUGAUUUACUCUAGAUCUAUAUUGUUUUUAUCUAUAUCUUCAAAAACUAAUUAGAAUUAUUUAUUUUUUACUCUAUUUUCAUAACUGGAACAAAGAAUAUUGAAUUCUAUGUUUAUAGUCAAUGUAUAAACAUUAUUGCCAAAAAGUAUUUCCCUUUGAGGAUAUCCUUGUGCAUAAAUAUAGCAAACUAUCACUGGUUCUUCUUGUUCCACAUUAAUGUUUGUCGUGAGCUUAAAAAUCAGUGCAUCAAUCUAUACAGUUGAUAAAACAUGAUUAAUAAGUUCAUAUUGAUUGCC
rnacentral:lncRNA from 1 species